UACGUAGGGCGCAAGCGUUAUCCGGAAUUAUUGGGCGUAAAGAGCUCGUAGGCGGCUUGUCGCGUCGUCCGUGAAAACCUGCGGCUCAACUGCAGGCUGGCGGUCGAUACGGGCAGGCUGGAGUUCGGUAGGGGAGACUGGAAUUCCUGGUGUAGCGGUGAAAUGCGCAGAUAUCAGGAGGAACACCGAUGGCGAAGGCAGGUCUCUGGGCCACUACUGACGCUGAGAAGCGAAAGCAUGGGGAGCGAACAGG
rnacentral:rRNA from 1 species